AGCAUCAUUGAAAUAGGCUGGUACAGUGACAACAGCUUUUGUAACUGUUUUUCCAAGGUAAGCCUCUGCAGUUUCUUUCAUCUUGGUCAAAACGAAAGCACCAAUUUGACUAGGGGAAUACUGCUGCCCAUUGGCCUCCACCCAUGCAUCUCCAUUUGGUGCCCUAACUAUCUUGUAUGGAACCAUUUUCAUUUCUUUCUGGGUCUGUGGAUCAUCAAACUUUCUACCAAUCAAACGCUUAGUUCCAAAAAGUGUGUUGGUAGGAUUGGUCACAGCUUGUCGCUUUGCUGGAGUACCCACAAGUAGCUCUCCCUUCUGGUUGAAGGCAACCACUGAAGGGGUGGUCCUAGAUCCUUCAGAAUUUUCAAUGACUUUGGGAUUCUUCCCCUCCAUGACAGCAACACAAGAAUUAGUUGUACCCAAGUCAAUACCAAUAACAUCGUUGCCGGCCGGUUUUGCACUGAAAGCUCUUGACAAACUUGCCCAAUUA
rnacentral:misc_RNA from 1 species